GGGCUUUGUUAAAAAUUAUAAUCUUUAUUGUAGCUUCCAUUCUUCUGUCCCAGUUAUCAGACCAAGAAUACCAAUUUCCCAUAAAUCUGUUCUACACUUCUACUGUUGUUGUUGGUUCAAUCAAAAUGAACAUCAUUUCUAAGAAACCCAAUGCAAAAGGUUCAAUUUUUAACUUCUUGAUUUCAUCAAAACUCUAUUUUUGAAGAACCCCUUUUCUUUGUUUACCUAAUUGCUGCCUUAGAAUACAUAUAUAUGUAUGAUUCAUAUAUUCUAAAGUGAUUGAUUCGGGAUUAUCUUGAGUUAAGGGUAAAGAGGUGCUUUGGGAGAGCAGAAGAGGACUGACUCAUGCCACCAGAGACCAAGUGGGAGUCCAGUUCCUGAGGAAGGAAGUCGAUCGUGCAGAAGAGGACGGCCUCACUCAAUGAUUAUGACAGGUUUAAGCUCGUGUUGGCAAAGAUCAAGGUGUGAUUGCAUAAUCUUUUUACCGUUGUGAUGGUUAUGUAUCGAUCUGAUUCGUUUGUGUUGGACAUUGCAGAGGGAUGGUGUGGUUUGCAAAGCUUAAGAACUUUUUAUCUACCUUUGGAACUGUUUUGUUUUUCUUUUCCAUUUUUGCUUGUUUUAGACGUGCUGGGAAAUUAUUUUUCUGAUCUAUGAAUUGUGAACUGUUUGUUUCAAAGAAUGUUUGCUAAGUUAUUUCA